UUUUUUUUUUGAGAUGGAGUCUUGCUCUGUCACUCAGGCUAGAGUACAGUGGCGUGAUCUUGGUUUACUGCAACCUCCGCCUCCCAGGUUCAAGCGAUUCUUCUGCCUCAGCCUCCUGAGUAGCUGGGACAAUAGGUACACACCACCACACAUGGCUAAUUUUUUGUAUUUUUAGUAAAGAUAGAGUUUCACCAUGUUGGCCAAGAUGGUCUCAAUCUCCUGACCUCAUGACCCACCCACCUCGGCCUCCCAAAGUGCUGGGAUUACAGCCGUGACAAAUUUCUACUUUUUAUAAGAGCACCAAUCAUAUUGGAUUAGGGCCCACCGUAAUGUCCUUAUUUUAACUUCAUUACCUCUGUAAAGACUCUGUCUCCAAAUGACAUCACAUUCUGAGGUACUAGGGGUUAGGACUCCAGUGCAUCUUUUUUGGAGGGGGCAUGGGGUGCAAAUUUAGCCCACAGCAUUAGUGACCUCCCUCUCCAAACGAGGAAACUGGCUCAGAGAGCUUGUCAUAUGCCUGAGGUCAUGCAGCCAGGAAAAGCAGCAGCCACCAGCACUGUCAGAGCCUGUGUGGGCCCCACGACAUCAUGUUCCCUGGCUCAGCAGCACCGACACCUUUGUGGAACCCACCGUCGCCCAUGGGCAUAGAGGGCACCCCACCACAGAGCUGUCCUAUGACUGUGCCAGGGUGAGAGUGGGGAGCGGAAGCUGGGCUCCCAGCAAGCCUCCCUGACCUCCCCCUGUCUCCCUGCAAUGAGGAGAGAGAGGAAGACAUGGCAGGCAAGGAGGGGGUGGGCAGAGCGGAAUGGGGGGUGAUGGUGUUGGGCAGUCCUCACAAGUCCCCAGCACUGGGGUCUACUCCCGUCCCUCUCUCCCCUCUUCCACCUGGUUGGUUUCCAAUCAGGAGAGCGCCUGGGUAGGUUCUGGAAUGGCUCCCACUGGUGAUUUAUAAAAUGAAGCUGCUUUUAUUCAACUACUUGAGUCACCUUUUAGAAUUUCUUACUGUCCUGAUUCCUACCUUGCACUCUCAGAAAAGGAUCCCUGAAGUCAAGAACGAAAUCCCCACCACAUGACAUGCACACCCUCCUCCCCAUCCUCCACCCUUCCUCCACGCCCUGUGGUGCCUUCCGCCAUUCAGGGAGAUGAUGCACAAGGAUUAGACAAACACGUCCAUCUAGAGAAAGGACUUCACUGGAACCUGGAAGUCAGAUUGCCACCUUCUGAGACUCAAAAUGUCUUCUUACAGUGGCAUCUUGUUUAACUUUAAAAUGGAUUACUGAUGCCUCAGAAUUCUGAAAUGGUUUGAAUUCCAAGUUCAGAACCAGCAGGUAGCCCGGCCAGACACCGGCACCCCAGGAGGACUCACUUGGGACAUCAGACCUCCCUGCCUGAUGGACCCAAAUCCUCCGCAAGGUAUACGUCUCACCCUCAGCCUGUUUAAAAGAACUGUUGACAUCGUGGGAAAUAUUCAUGUCUAAUUUGCCACCAAAGUCUUCACGGCCUUGGACAGUGAUUUUAAUCACUCUAGACUUCGGCUCCUCCCUUUGUUAAUAGUAACAAUAAACAAUACCCAGCUCCCAACAUUACUGUGAGAAUUAAGUAAGAUAAUACGCGAUAUUUCUUAGCAAACUGUAAAAAGUGCUGUGCAAAGUAGAACGCAGGUAGACGCUGGCCUGAUCCUUCCAUGGAUCAUCUGCUCAGCCCACACUCUGUGAAAGGGGGCUAAAGCCUGGGAUAAAAACCCGCCUGAAGGCUGUGAACUCUUUGAGAGUCAUGGUUGUGUCCCUUAAAUGUGAUAAUCCCGACACAGUGUCCAGUGCAUAAUCCCAUUACGGUGUCUGCUGCUCAACAAAUAUUUGUGGAAUAAAGGAAGGAAAGGAAGAAGAAAAAGAAAAAGGG
ensembl:lncRNA